CCCCGACCGAUUGGGGAAGGCGGCAGCAGCAGCAGCCCGGUGGGCGGCGAUGGCGAUGGCGAUGGCGCCGGGCGGGCAUCCAAGCCAGCGUGAUGACGUCAGCGCCGCCACGUCUGCGCAGACGAGGCGUCGGAGGCUGCGCCGGGGAACGGGGAGGGUCUCCGGCCGGCGCGUCGCCGCCCCCGCUGCCUCGGGCCGCCGCUCGCUUGGAGCCGGCGCCGGGCCCGUCCGCCCUCGGUCCGAGGAAGGGGCGGCGCUGGCGGCGGCCGCGAUGCACCCGAAGCUGCUGAAGAACGCGCACUACAUCGAGCUGGGGAGCUACCAGUACUGGCCUGUGUUGGUGCCGCGCGGCAUCCGCCUCUACACCUACGAGCAGAUCCCCGUGUCCCUCAAGGACAACCCCUACAUCACGGACGGCUACCGGGCCUACCUGCCCUCGCGCCUCUGCCUCAAGAGUUUGUUUAUUUUAUCCAAUGAGACGGUAAACAUAUGGAGUCAUCUGCUGGGCUUUUUCCUCUUCUUCACUCUGGGCAUAUAUGACAUGACUUCGGUAUUACCUUCAGCCAGAGCUUCCAGAGAAGAUUUUGUAAUUUGUUCUAUUUGUCUUUUCUGCUUUCAGGUUUGUAUGCUUUGUUCUGUGGGCUAUCACCUUUUCUCUUGCCAUCGCUCAGAAAAAACCUGUCGACGAUGGAUGGCAUUAGAUUAUGCAGGAAUCUCUGUUGGAAUACUGGGUUGUUACGUGUCAGGAGUAUUUUAUGCAUUUUAUUGUAAUAAUUAUUGGCGUCAAGUCUAUCUGAUUAUGGUGCUUGCUAUGAUCCUCACCGUCUUCUUUGCUCAGAUUCACCCCAAUUACCUCACUCAGCAGUGGCACAGACUUCGUUCCAUUAUCUUUUGUUCAGUGUCUGGGUAUGGAGUGAUUCCUACUAUUCAUUGGGUCUGGCUCAAUGGAGGUGUUGGUGCACCUAUUGUACAGGAGUUUGCACCUCGUGUAAUUGUGAUGUAUGUGAUUGCUCUUGUUGCUUUCCUCUUCUACAUUUCCAAAGUUCCAGAAAGAUACUUUCCAGGACAACUAAACUACCUCGGAUCCAGCCACCAAAUAUGGCAUAUCCUUGCAGUAGUUAUGUUGUAUUGGUGGCAUCAGUCAACAGUUACUGUCAUGCAGUACAGACACAGCAAACCUUGUCCUGACUAUAUUCCACAUUUGUGAAUGCAGUGUGGAAGCUCCUUGAAUUGAUAAAGAGAAUUGCUUGAAGCAACUACCUUACACAUUAUUUGUGGAACUGUUCCUAGUGGGAUAAUCUGCACUUAGGCCCUUUUCUGAGGGACAGAGUAGCAGGAAUAAGAAGAGAGAAAACAGUGGCCAAUCUGUCCUUGGAAAAUGGUUAAUGGCUCAACAUCAAGGGAACUUGCCAGGUCUCUGAAGGAAACAGAAGGAGUCCAUCAACUGGAAGAAAACUGAGAAAUGGGUAGAUGACCAUGAUGGAAUGGUACUGCUCCAGAAGCAGCAGCAAAUACGAAGAAUUCAAGAAAAUGCAUCAAGACUUAAAAUAAUGUAGACCAAAGAAAGGAGAGCCUGUACAACAACUAAAGUAAUGAUCAUAUAUGUAAAACAAUGUCAUCAAAAUCACAAUCGAAAACAAUAAAAUUCUGCGCUCAGAUUAACUCCAAAGGGUAAUGCUGGUCUUGGAGCAAAGAUGAAACCUACCUACGCUUCAUUGUUUGACAAGCUCAUAAGCACACAAUGAUGCAGUGCUGCCAAAUGAAGGGUUAAUACUUUGUCAACUGGAUUCUGCUGAGUUUUUUUGCUUUGUAAUAAGGAAGGACUCAAUAUAGAGAUCAG